rnacentral:tRNA from 1 species
GCCCCUGUAGCUCAGUUGGUAGAGCAUGGUGUUUGCAACGCCAGGGUUGUGGGUUCGAUUCCCACGGGGGGCC